UACGUAGGGGGCAAGCGUUGUCCGGAUUUAUUGGGCGUAAAGAGCGUGUAGGCGGCUUUGCAAGUCCGUUGUGAAAACUCGAGGCUUAACCUCGAGACGCCGGUGGAAACUGCAAAGCUAGAGUCCGGAAGAGGAGAGUGGAAUUCCUGGUGUAGCGGUGAAAUGCGCAGAUAUCAGGAAGAACACCCGUGGCGAAGGCGGCUCUCUGGGACGGUACUGACGCUGAGACGCGAAAGCGUGGGGAGCGAACAGG
rnacentral:rRNA from 1 species